rnacentral:lncRNA from 1 species
AAUCACCAGAUAAAUAAAUUAGUGCUCAUUCUUGCCAGUUUCUACGCUAAUAUUUUCACUAUCUACAUUUUACAGAUAAAGAAAUUGAGAUUUACAAGGCAUCAGGUGACUGGUUUAGGUUCCUACAGCAAAUAGUGACAAAUCCAGACUAGAAAGCAUCUCAGGACUCUUUGAAAACAAAGACAAAAUUCCUAACCCAUCAUGGAAGAAGAGGCUCAAUAAAAGGUUCGCAGAAGAACUGACAAUGAGCUUCCAUUCCUUGUGAAGAAGAUAGAAUAUUCAUUUGCAAAGUCUUCCAAAACAAACUUAGUUUUACUUCUGUAUAAAUUUGAAGUCAUCUAGAUGGAAGUUACCUACACUCAUCAGAAAAGCC